UUAGUCGGUCACCACGUAACCACCUAAUAGUAGUGGAAUAGUAAGGCAAAUUCUCAACCGUAAUCUUAGAGCAGCGUUCUUGAACUAGCUAAAUUGGGGUGAGCAAAUUGAUCUUCACAUUCAAGGUGACAAAUUAUGUAAAUUCAAGCUGCUAAUUGACGAAAACUCCAUACUCGGUUGAUUUUCUUCUGCAAAUUACUCAAGAGGUCAGCCAAGUGUCCAGUCGCUUAACAUCUGAAUCGCGGAUCUAUGCUGAUAAGGCUAGAUACCUAAAUCGACAGGUU